CAUAAACAACAAAGUUAACUUAAUGGAAAUCGGCGUUAAUCGUGGCUAUUAUAUUUGCGCAGCAGAACAACAUUUUUGUUAAGGAAAUCAGGUGACGAGAGCCACAUAAAAGCGGCUCGUUAACUUAAAAGAAAAUCGAACUGCAAAAUAGUAAACAGAGAAAGAAAGACUUGGAACUGUAUAACAGUUGUAUAACAGUUGUAUAACAGGUGUAUAACACUUAUGCCGUAUAACAGUUAACCAAUUCCGGGAGCUUUACGUGAUGGUCAGAAAAUAGCUGUAGAUAUACAUAGGUGGGGCACGAAAAGUGAGAAAGGAAAUAACAACAGGAAAAUCGAAAGGAAAAGUCAACGGAAAAGCGUUAUACAAAACGAAAGUAUGGGGGCCAGGCAUGCUAACCUGGACUCAGCGGAAAUUCGGGCGGCUCGGCAUGAUCCGUGUCUGGACUGGAACGACCCUGGCUACUACUGCCACAACAACUACUCACUGGAGACGAUCUAUGAGUUGGUGUUA